rnacentral:rRNA from 1 species
CCCACGAAUAGCUAAGAACAAUUUGAUUUAGCGGACUACCAUAAAUACCAUACUUCAAUCAGCAGGAUUACCAUGCUGCCAGGCACACGCAUCUGCACCGAUCCCUUUUCCAGUCGCCCGACACGUCUGCAUCCAGCAGCUUCCAGUCUAUACAGUUGAUUAAUAAAAGCAACAGGCACCAUAUUCCCACCGAGAGCUAUCACCGCCCACUGCGUAUCCCUUAUCCACAACAACACAUCGCCAUUCCUCAUCGCGCAUGAGCCACUCCGCCUCCAUCUUCCUCCUCCUCCUACCUCACCCACCCAACGCUGCUCCUCCUCCUCUUCUCCAUCCAUCUCACCACCCAAGCGUUGCUCACCUCUUCGUGCUACCUCCCUGCCUCCUCCAACCGCACCUAGAGUGGAGCUCCUCUGUGCCACGAGCCAGCCCAGCUGCCGCCGCCACUCUCCUCCUCUCUCUCAGCUUUUUCCUUAUCCUCUCCAGGGAAGAGAGUCGCCAAAGAACAACACGCAGCACUCCGGCCGCCUUGGAGCUCGCCCCGCCGCCGGGCCGGCCACCUCUCUGUUGGCUUCGUGCUCCUCCGCAUCGAUCCGAACAACCCCGCCGCCUUGGAGCUCUGCCCGCCUCCGGCCGGCCACCUCUCCGUCGGCCUCGUGCUCCUCUGCCUCGAUCUGUCCGCCCCGUCGCCGGAUCCAUGCCGGAGCACCCGGAUCUGCCGCCCCUUGCAUGUCCUGCCGUCAGGAGGAGCAGGAGCGCCCGUUCGCCCGGGACGUGGGCCACGCAGCUGGAUCCACCCCUGCCGCAGGUCUUCAAGCAACCUCGGCUCUCUCUGUCAACUCUCUCAUCCUCCAUGUUGGCGCGUUGGUACGGGGGCGCUGCUCCGGUGGCCGGCCGGCGUGGGGCGGCGGGGAGGCACAAGCGCCAGCCCGCGCGUGGAGGCGCUGCAUGAGGUCGGCGGCGGUGGCGCGGGACGCCGGCGUGAGGAGCAGGCCGAGGAGCUCGAGACCUGUUGGUCCGGAUCGAGCGAGGGGGCUCGGGGAGGAGCAGAGCACGGGGCGGCAGCGUACGGGCCAGAUCGGGAGGCAGUUUUUUCUUCUUUGUACCGGUUCGGGGCUGACUUAUGUUGAGGACUGCGGGUUGAAUUCUCCAAAACGGAGGGGCUUUUUCGCAAAAACGCCGACGACGUACGGGCAGAAGCACUCCG